UAAAGCCGCCGCCUGCAGUGCUGGCAUCCCACAGGGCUCUAGCUGCUCCGCUUCUGAUCCAGCUCUCUACUAUGGCCUGGGAAAGCAGUGGAGAAUGGCCCAAGGGCUUGGGCCCUUGUACCUGUGUGGGAGACCAGGAAGAACCUCCUCCCUCCUGGCUUUGGAUCGGCCCAGCUCCAGCCACUAUGGCCAUUUGGGAAGUGAACCAGAGGAUAGAAGACUUCUCUCUCAAUAGGCUAAUCCUCCACCUUGCGGCGCCGGCACACCGGGUUCUAGUCCCGGUCGGGGCGCCGGAUUCUGUCCCGGUUGCCCCUCUUCCAGGCCAGCUCUCUGCUAUGGCCAGGGAGUGCAGUGGAGGAUGGCCCAGGUGCUUGGGCCCUGCACCCCAUGGGAGACCAGGAAAAGCACCUGGAUCCUGGCUCCUGCCAUCGGAUCAGCGCGGUGCGCCGGCUGCAGCGGCGGCCAUUGGAGGGUGAACCAACGGCAAAGGAAGACCUUUCUCUCUCUGUCUCUCUCUCUCACUGUCCACUCUGCCUGUCAAAAUUUAAAAAAAAAAAAAAAAAAGAA